UCAAACUUGGUCAUUUAGAGGAAGUAAAAGUCGUAACAAGGUUUCCGUAGGUGAACCUGCGGAAGGAUCAUUAUUGAAUAAAAUGUAUGAUAAGCUGUUGCUGGCCUCUCCCUGGGGUAUGUGCACGCGUAUCAUCUUUAUUUCUCUACCUGUGCACUGUUUGUAGACUCGGGGGAAGAUAUUGUCUGAGCUAUCGGACAGUUUUAGAGGACUGCUGUGCUGUCUGCCAUCUAAAAAGAGCCAGCUUUGCCUUGUCUCCUAAGUUCUAUGUCAUCUACAUAUGCCUAUGAAUGUAACAGAAUGUUGAUGCUCUGGGUCUUUAUAAUACCCAUAUAAAGUUGUAACAACUUUCAGCAACGGAUCUCUUGGCUCUCGCAUCGAUGAAGAACGCAGC
rnacentral:misc_RNA from 1 species